UACGAAGGGGGCUAGCGUUGCUCGGAAUCACUGGGCGUAAAGCGCACGUAGGCGGCUUCUUAAGUCAGGGGUGAAAUCCUGGAGCUCAACUCCAGAACUGCCUUUGAUACUGAGAGGCUUGAGUCCGGGAGAGGUGAGUGGAACUGCGAGUGUAGAGGUGAAAUUCGUAGAUAUUCGCAAGAACACCAGUGGCGAAGGCGGCUCACUGGCCCGGUACUGACGCUGAGGUGCGAAAGCGUGGGGAGCAAACGGG
rnacentral:rRNA from 1 species